rnacentral:rRNA from 1 species
CCCUUAGAUGUUCUGGGCCGCACGCGCGCUACACUGAUGCAUUCAACAAGUUCACCUUGGCCGAGAGGCUUGGGCAAUCUUUUGAACAUGCAUCGUGAUAGGGAUAGAUUAUUGCAAUUAUUAAUCUUGAACGAGGAAUUCCUAGUAAACGUAGAUCAUCAAUCUGCAUUGAUUACGUCCCUGCCCUUUGUACACACCGCCCGUCGCACCUACCGAUUGAAUGUGCCAGUGAAAAGUUAGGAUUGGGCGUGGGAGACGGCAACGUAUUCCACAUCCGAGAAAAUCUUUAAACUUUCCCAUUUAGAGGAAGGAGAAGUCGUAACA